rnacentral:rRNA from 1 species
UACGGGGGAGCAAGCGUUGUUCGGAUUUACUGGGCGUAAAGGGCGCGUAGGCGGCGUGACAAGUCACUUGUGAAAUCUCCGGGCUUAACCCGGAGCGGCCAAGUGAUACUGUCGUGCUAGAGUGCGGGAAGGGGCUACUGGAAUUCUCGGUGUAGCGGUGAAAUGCGUAGAUAUCGAGAGGAACACCUGCGGCGAAGGCGGGUAGCUGGGCCGAACACUGACGCUGAGGCGCGAAAGCCAGGGGAGGCGAACGGG